UCCGGUUUGACACCGGCAGUCUCCACAGAGUGCCCAACUUAAUGAUGGCAACUGAGGAUAGGGGUUGCGCUCGUUAUAGGACUUAACCUGACACCGUAUCUCUACGGCUUUUCCCUACAUGUCAAGCCCAGGUAAGGUUCUUCGCGUUGCCUCGAAUUAAGCAACAUGCUCCGCCGCUUGUGCGGGCCCCCGUCAAUUCCUUUGAGUUUUAGCCUUGCGGCCGUACUCCCCAGGCGGAGUGCUUAAUGCGUUAGCUGCAGCACUAAAGGGCGGAAACCCUCUAACACUUAGCACUCAUCGUUUACAGCGUGGACUAC
rnacentral:misc_RNA from 1 species